rnacentral:rRNA from 1 species
GACGAACGCUGGCGGCGUGCUUAACACAUGCAAGUCGAACGGAAAGGCCCUGCCUUUGUGGGGUGCUCGAGUUGCGAAGGGGUGAGUAACACGUGAGUAACCUGUCCCUGACCUUGGGAUAUCUUAAGGAAACUUGGGCUAAUCCCGGCAAGGAGCUCCUGCUGCUUGGUGGGGGCUGGUAAGUUUCGGCGGUUGGGGAUGGAAUGGCCGCUUAUGAGCUUGAUGCUGGGGUAGUGUCUUACCAAGGCUUUGACCGGUAGCCGGCCUGAGAGGGUGACCGGCCACAUUGCACCGGAGAUACGACACGGACUCGUACGGGACGCAGCGGUGGGGAAGGGAGUACAAGGGGCGGAGGCCUGGUGCAGCAACGCCGCGUGGGGGAUGACGGCCUUCGGGUAGUAAAGCGCUUUCGCCUGUGACGAGGCGUGAGUGACGGUAACGGGUAAAGAAGCACCGGCUAACUACGUG